UACGUAGGUGGCAAGCGUUGUCCGGAAUUAUUGGGCGUAAAGCGCGCGCAGGCGGCCUUUUAAGUCUGAUGUGAAAUCUUGCGGCUCAACCGCAAGCGGCCAUUGGAAACUGGGGAGGCUUGAGUACAGAAGAGGAGAGUGGAAUUCCACGUGUAGCGGUGAAAUGCGUAGAUAUGUAGAGGAACACCAGUGGCGAAGGCGACUCUCUGGUCUGUAACUGACGCUGAGGCGCGAAAGCGUGGGGAGCAAACAGG
rnacentral:rRNA from 1 species